rnacentral:rRNA from 1 species
GACGAACGCUGGCGGCGUGCUUAACACAUGCAAGUCGAACGAAGUGGCGAACGGGUGAGUAACGCGUAAUCAACCUGCCCAUCAGAGGGGGACAACAGUUGGAAACGACUGCUAAUACCGCAUACUGAAGGAGGGGAUUGCGUCGGAUUAGCUAGUUGGAGGGGUAACGGCCCAACAAGGCGAUGAUAAGUAGCCCGUCUGAGAGGAUGAUCGUCCACAUCUGGACUGAGACACGGCCCAGACUCCUUCGGGGGGCAGCAGUGGGGAAUCUUCCGGAAUGGACGAAAAUCUGACGGGUCCACGCCGCGUUAGUGAUUACGGCCUUCGGGUUGUAAAGCUCUGUUAAUUGGGAAGCGGUACCGGAAUAGAAAGCCACGGCUAACUACGUGCCAGCAGCCGCGGUAAUUC